GCUCUAUCUGCAAACAUACAGAGACAGCAAUUUCUUUCAGUUAGCAGUCGAUCAAGUGGCCCAACGUGAAAGUACUGAUAUGAAGCUCACGUUGCUUGUCCGGGAGACAGGGGGAAAGAGGCAACAGGUGAGCUUAAAUAUGGUGCAUGCAUAGCAGCAUGUAAUGUGGAAAACAAAAAUGAACACAAAAAUGCAAGAUUAACACAAAAUGAAAGUGUGCUUUUAAGAAAUAACUACAAAGAGCUUCAUAUAAAAGAGAGCAGUCUCUCUCAGGCUCCUUCAGUGUUCAUUUCGCUCUUGUGAAGGGAUGCUGGAGAACCUAGACCAGUUUGUCUGUUCACUUGUCUGUUCAUCUGGCAUUCAAUGAGAUAAAGAUUUAUGGUCCCAGUGACUGAAAAACAAUAGUCCCUAAAGUAAAACCAAAGGCACAUUUUGAAGGUUGUCAUGGUCCUGGGCCAUGUGGGCCCAGCAUUCUUAGUUUUCAUGUAUUUUUGUAUUUUGUUCUUUAUUUAGGCCAUGCUUCCUGGGUUGAUCUGUUACGUUGUUCCUUAUGUGUUUUCCCUUCGUGACUCUUACCCCCUGUGUGCCCCUCUGUGUAUUUAUGAGCCCUCGUCUCCCUUUGUGGUUGUUUCAUGUUUCCCCAGCCCGUUAUGUCUGUGUUUUUCCCCGUGCUCUCUCUCCUCCUGUCUGAACCUCUGUGCCUGUACAUGUCAUGUUCAGUUCACCCAGCCCUGUCUCGUUAUGAUUAUCAGUGUCACCUGUGUUCCCCGUGUGUGCCCACUUUCCUCGUUUACCCUCUGUGUAUUUCUGUCUGAGUCUCCCUCUGUUCGGUGUCGUGUUCUCCCUCAUGCUGUGUGUGAUUCCCCUGUGUUCCUUGGUGAGCUUUAUGUUAGUUUUUCCCAGUUUAGUUUUGUAUUGUUUCUCGUGGCCAGCAAUAAAGCUGUGUUUUUGAGUUCACCCCCGUGUCGUACUACGGUGUACAUUUUAGGACAUCGUCAGGUAUCAGACAAAAAAUUGUCAGGUGUCAGUUGUCAAAAAAAAAAGUUGUCAGGUAUCAGAAAAAAAAUUGUCAGGUGUCAGAAAAAAAAUUGUCAGGUGUCAGUUGUCAAAAAAAAAAAAAGUCAGGUAUCAGAAAAAAAAUUGUCAGGUGUCAGAAAAAAAAUUGUCAGGUGUCAGUUGUCAAAAAAAAAAAAGUCAGGUAUCAGAAAAAAAAUUGUCAGGUGUCAGAAAAAAAGUUGUCAGGUGUCAGAAAAAAAGUUGUCAGGUGUCAGAAAAAAAAUUGUCAGGUGUCAGAAAAAAAGUUGUCAGGUGUCAGAAAAAAAGUUGUCAGGUGUCAGACAAAAAAUUGUCAGGUGUCAGUUGUCAAAAAAAAAAAAGUCAGGUAUCAGAAAAGAAAUUGUCAGGUGUCAGAAAAAAAGUUGUCAGGUGUCAGAAAAAAAGUUGUCAGGUGUCAGACAAAAAAGUUGUCAGGUGUCAGAAAAAAAAUUGUCAGGUAUCAGAACACAAGGUACCAGAGAGAAAAUCUUCCUGCAGGUGGCGCUGUUGUCAUGUCCCACCCGAAUUGAUUUCCAAAUACGUCAUCAACGUGUGACCGUGGGAGAGCGUAAGGUCAUUGACCUCACCGGAGUUUUACCGUGGUUCAGGCUCCUAACGACACAAGACUUUGCUGCAAUAUGUCAUCUGACGAUGAUGAAAGGAGUAUCCGACUCUGGCUGGUUCCCAUGACUGUACCAAAAAUACUUUUUUUUUUAUUAAAAAAAGAGCAUUAAAAAUAAAUGACUAAAGUACAACUUAUUUAUUAACUACUGUUCACCUAUUUAAUAUCAAAGAAGUGUAUUUUUUGCUACACGUUUUAUUUGUGGGCACUGAAUUGACGAUGCUUUUAGUGUAAUUGCCACAUAAAAAGAUUUAGUACUUUACUGGUUAAUUACUUAUGUUCAGUGUAAGAGGUGGGUGAUCAAUUAGACUGUUGUUGUUACACUUAACCUUUCAAGAUAUGAUGAUAAUAACAUUGUUCAACAAAGGCUUAAAACAAAAGGAAAUCAGCUGUGCACUGAAUUCAUAUGGGCAUAAAAUAAGUGAGAGGCAUCUGAGACGAGUUUUAAAACUUCUAGGGUUGAAGCGAAGAUGCCCCCAACGACCUUUUACUGAAAUCC
ensembl:lncRNA